UACGAAGGGGCUAGCGUUGUUCGGAAUUAUUGGGCGUAAAGCGCACGUAGGCGGUUCGUUAAGUCGGAUGUGAAAGCCCUCGGCUCAACUGAGGAAGUGCACCCGAAACUGGCGAGCUUGAGUACGAAAGAGGAUGCGGAAUUCCCGGUGUAGAGGUGAAAUUCGUAGAUAUCGGGAAGGAACACCGGUGGCGAAGGCGGCGAUCUGGGUCGAUACU
rnacentral:rRNA from 1 species